rnacentral:lncRNA from 1 species
CGCUGCUGCAGAGACCCCGCCUGGCCCGCGGGCCGCGCCCGGGAAGGGACCCUGGCUCCCCAAAUCAAAGCGAGCUGUAAGGCAUCUUUAAAAAGCUCAGACAGAAGCGUUCGACGGAGACCCUCAGUCCUUGCUGGACAAGCCACUGCCACUUGAAGUUUUAAGGAAUGGUUGAAGGGCGCACAGAGGAACAUUUGGUUAUACAAAAGGAUUGAUUUUUACGAGAAGCUUCAAAAGACGCCCCGGAAAGUGGGGCCUUCUUUCUCGGCUUAUGGAAUGGAAGGAACAGCGUGAACAGCGAGAAACUGCAGCCCGGCGACCCCGAGGCCCGGAGCAGGACAAGAUUAUCUGUAAAUCAGAUAAGAAGGAUUCUCAAAGUAAAAGAUAUCUUAGUCGCUUACAUCAGAUGUAUUCCACUUCGCUCGCCAACAUGGAGUUCUCCAGGAGCCUGCUGGAGGCGAGCCGCCGGGGUGCAGACGUGGGCGCGGACGGCAGAGCCGGCGGUCUGUGGGACCCCGCGUUCCUCAGUGGACAUGGGCAGCACCAGGUGCGGCCCCCGGAGAGGCGGCCUGAGGGUGCCCACUGGGCCGCUGGUCGUCAGCGCGAAGCCCGGCCUCCUCUCAUCUUCCUGAGAUGCGACAGCCUGCCUGGCAGGAAGAAAGAUUCCAAUGAGAAGGCAAGAGGACACGCAGCAGCCCUGGGUGGCAUGAGUAACCUUCCAGAACAAAUGAGGAGUAAGCCUGCCUCUCCAGGGAUGACCACAGCACCCCUCACCCUGGAACAAGCAAGUCAGAAGUCCCGUGUUCUGGAGGCUAAGACAGCAAGUCGAUACUGGACUAACUAUGUGGAUUGAGAAAGCGAAUGUAGUGUCUCACCUGCAUGAAAAGAAUGAAGAAAUGUUGAAACUCCCCCCAAAAUAAUUAAAUGGCAGAUUUCUUUUUCUUCAAAUUUAUGACAAGAAAAUAUGGUAUUAUCUAGUAAAUAAUAAUAUAAACCCAGAAAUAUGAAUAAAAAUCAGUAGAAAUAAGAAUCA